rnacentral:tRNA from 1 species
GGUGGCUCAGUGGUAGAGUACUUGCCUUGCAUGCAUAAGGCCCUGGGUUCAAUUCCUCAGCACCA